rnacentral:rRNA from 1 species
CAGAACGAACGCUGGCGGCAUGCCUAAUACAUGCAAGUCGAACGAACACUUCGGUGUUAGUGGCGCACGGGUGCGUAACGCGUGGGAAUCUGCCCUUGGGUUCGGAAUAACAGUUGGAAACGACUGCUAAUACCGGAUGAUGACGAAAGUCCAAAGAUUUAUCGCCCAGGGAUGAGCCCGCGUAGGAUUAGCUAGUUGGUGAGGUAAAGGCGUCACCAAGGCGACGA